UCAUACUAGGUAAUUGUCUCUAAUUGAAAAUUUGCAUUAUUACUAAUCGGAGAUUUAUGAAGAUGCUAAUCUGUAUCUAAUCAACAUACCAUUUUGUAUUGCGAUCUGAUUUCGAAACGACGAAAAUUUCACGAAGGCGAUUGAACUUUAUUAUGAUCGCGAAAAGACGAGAUUUCUUGGAAGGCACUGAUUGUUAAAUUCGAAGAUGCGAUCGAUGAUUAUCGCUUCACCAUGGCAGAUUCUCCUGGGAGAAUAUUCGUGAGAUGUGGACGUUGUAUUAUUUCGCGAUCAAAUUCGAUGAGAGUCGAGACUGCGGAAUGUUGGAGCAGUCGACAGCUGUUUAUCCCAAUGCGGCGUUUAAUUCGAUCGGCACCUAGUAAUACCGUCAAUUUGAUUCCUUUGAGUUAGUCCAAUGGUCGUGUAAAUCCCCGGCGAGCAACCCCUGUCACUCGAGUCGAUCCCGUUAAUUUGCGGAGAACACACGAAAAUUACCAAUACUGCUCUUGCAAACAGAAGACGAGAAGUCUUUAGUGCUGUAGAUCAAGGCUCUUCGGUCUGAAUGACAAAUUAGGAAUCGUCGAAAUUAUUCAAGCUCCGUCCGAAUGAAUUCAAUUCCAGGAUAUUUAUCCAGGACAUCGGCAAAAUGUUUAGUCUAAUUAAUCUGCAAAAUGGCAGGAUACCCCGAUUCCGCGCGCAACCGAGGCGGAAUCGAGCCUUCACGCGUAAUCACGCAUUAUCGCACGCAUGUUUACAUUUACGGGCGCGUGCACGUUUGCGCUUUCGCGCGCGCACAUAAAGGACCACCAACGC